CAUCUCAACGAUUGCUACGUUGCGUGAUGGUUUAUACUGAACAAGACGUUUCCCCAAAACUGUGCGUACGGUCCUUCAACAUCAUUUGAGGUACGUCUGCUACUCUUUGGUGGGUGUGGCCUGAUCAAUACGGGGGAUACCAUUUGAAAUCGCAAAACUCGUUCAGCAAGUUACAUUUAUAGCCGUUAUGUUGAAUUAAAGGUUGAACAUCGUGCUGUCUUACUGAACACACCCCUUGUGUCCUAGUUGUGGAUUUUUGGGUGGGUUUGCGAGCGCACAACCCGGACAGGCACCAAAAACGAGUUCCCCAUUCUGUGCUAGCCAGAUACAUGCAAGUUACUGUAGCCUCCACAAUCAUAGGCAAGGAUGACCGAAAGCUCCGCGAACAAGCCGGCCAAUGGACAAGUUUGUCACCGAGUGAAGAACGGCGUUAAACCGGGCAGAAACGGUUUCAUAAAAAACCAUCACCAUUACCAUCAUCAGCAGCCGAUGUACUGCUAUCCCGAGGACAAGGUGCAGCACACCGCGUGUAAUGGCAGCAGCGGCCUGGGCCUGUACAGUCGUCCCUUCAUCGAGUCUUUUGAGGAAACGCCCAUGCUGGUGGCGGUCCUCACCUACAUGGGCUACGGCAUCCUCACCAUCUUCGGAUACCUCCGAGACUUCCUCCGGGACUGGAAGAUCGAGAGGUGUCAUGUUGCCCGCGAGAGGGAGGAGCAGAGGGACUUUGUCCCACUUUACCAGGACUUUGAGAACUUUUACACCAGGAACUUAUACAUGCGCAUCCGUGACAGCUGGAACAGACCCAUCUGCAGUGUCCCGGGGGCCAAGGUGGACCUAGUGGAACGUGUGUCACCUGACUACAACUGGACCUUUGACUACACAGGCAAAGUGGUUGAAGGUGUAAUAAACAUGGGUUCCUAUAACUACCUGGGCUUUGCUGAGAACACGGGUUACUGUGCUGACGCGUCCGCUGAGGUCACCAUGAAGUACGGGGUGGGCGUGGCCAGCACCAGGCAGGAGAUGGGUAACUUAGACAGACAUGAGGAGAUGGAGGAGCUGGUUGCUAAAUUCCUGGGCGUGGAGUCGGCCAUGGCUUUCGGGAUGGGCUUCGCUACCAAUUCGAUGAACAUCCCUGCCCUUACUGGCAAGGGCUGUCUAAUCCUAAGUGAUGAGCUGAACCAUGCCUCUCUGGUCCUGGGAGCCAGGCUGUCUGGGUCCACCAUCCGUGUCUUCAAACACAACAACAUGCAAAGUCUGGAGAAGAUGUUGAGAGACGCCAUAGUCCACGGCCAGCCCAGAACACACAGGCCGUGGAAGAAGAUCCUCAUAUUGGUGGAGGGUAUAUACAGUAUGGAAGGCAGUAUAGUACGUCUACCUGAAGUCAUAGCUCUGAAGAAGCGCUACAGGGCCUAUCUGUACCUGGACGAGGCCCACAGUAUUGGGGCUCUGGGGCCAGGGGGCCGAGGUGUGGUCGACUACUUUGGUCUGGACCCCCGAGACGUGGACGUCAUGAUGGGGACGUUCACCAAGAGCUUUGGCGCCGCUGGGGGCUACAUCGGAGGCAGGAAGGACUUGUUGGAGUACCUGCGCUCCCACUCUCACAGUGCGGUGUACGCCGCGUCCAUGUCACCUCCUGUCGUGGAGCAGAUCAUCGCUUCUAUGAAGUGCAUUAUGGGGGAGGACGGGACGACGCUUGGGCCAUGGGGUGAGACGAGGAUGCAGCUAAAGCCCCACCCUCUUCAACAUAUAUAUCAAGGAAUUGGCGAGGGCACUAAAACAGUCUGCAGCACCCAGCCUCACCCUACUAGAAUCUGAAGUCAAAUGUCUACUGUUUGCUGAUGAUCGGGUGCUUCGGUCACCAACCAAGGGCCUACAGCAGCAUCUAGAUCUUCUGCACAUAUGCUGUCAGACCUGGGCCCUGACAGUAAAUCUCAAUACGAUCUAAACCAGGCCAGAACUUGUCCGUGUAGACCAAUUUGGGUUUCCAAUCUCUCCAAAAGAAUGUGGUGAUCGAUGGUAUCAAAAGCAGCACUAAGGUCUAGGAGCACGAGGACAGAUGCAGAGCCUCGGUCUGAUGCCAUUAAAAGGUAAUUUACCACCUUGACAAGUGCAGUCUCAGUGCUAUGAUGGGGUCUAAAACCAGACUGAAGCAUUUUGUAUACAUUGUUUGUCUUCAGAAAGGCAGUGAGUUGCUGCCCAACAGCCUUUUCAAAUAAUUUUGAGAGGAAUGGAAGAUUCGAUAUAGGCCGAUAGUGUUUUAUAUUUUCUGGGUCAGGGUUUGGCUUUUUCAAGAGAGGCUUUGUUACUGCCACUUUUAGUGAGUUUGGUACACAUCCCGUGGAUAGAGAGUUGUUUAUUAUGUUCAACAUAGGAAGGCCAAGCACAGGAAGCAGCUCUUUCAGUAGUUUAGUUGGAAUAGGGUCCAGUAUGCAGCUUGAAGGUUUAGAGGCCAUGAUUAUUUUCAUCAUUGUGUCAAGAGAUAUAGUGCUAAAACACUUGAGCGUCUCUCUUGAUCCUAGGUCCUGGCAGAGUUGUGCAGACUCAGGACAACUGAGCUUUGAAGGAGGACGCAGAUUUAAAGAGGAGUCCGUAAUUUGCUUUCUAAUAAUCAUGAUCUUUUCCUCAAAGAAGUUCAUGAAUGUAUCACUGCUGAAGUGAAAGCCAUACUCUCUUGGGGAAUGCUGCUUUUUAGUUAGCUUUGCGACAGUAUCAAAAAGGAAUUUCGGAUUCUAUGCCAUUCAAAGGAACAUUGCAUUUGACAUGCCAAUUAGGAUCUGGCUGAAAAUACUUGAAUCAGUUGUAGAACCCAUUGCCCUUUUAUGGUUGUGAGGUCUGGGGUCCGCUCACCAACCAAGAAUUCACAAAAAGGGACAAAAACCAAAUUAAGAGACUGCUUGCAGAAUUCUGCAAAAAUAUCCUCAGUGUACAACGUAAAACACCAAAUAAUGCAUGCAGAGUAGAAUUAGGCUGAUACCUGGUAAUGAUCAAAAUCCAGAAAAGAGCCGUUCAAUUCUACAACCACCUAAAUGGAAGCAAUUCCAAAACCUUCCCUAACAAAGCCAUCACCUACAGAGAGAUGAACCUGGAUAAGAGUCCCCUAAGCAAGCUGGUCCUGGGGCUCUGAUCACAAACAGACCCCACAGAGACCCAGGACAGCAGCACAAUUAGAUCCAAACAAAUCACGAGAAAACAAAAAUAUUAUUACUUGAGACAUUGGAAAGAAUUAGCAAAAAAACAGCAAACUAGAAUGCUAUUUGGCCCUAAACAGAGAGUACACAGUGGCAGAAUACCUGACCACUGUGACUGACCCAAACUUAUGGAAAGCUUUGACUAUGUACAGACUCAGUGAGCAUAGCCUUGCUAUUGAUAAAGGCCACCAUAGGCAGACCUGGCUCUCAAGAGAAGACAGGCUAUGUGCACACUGCCCACAAAAUGAGGUGGAAACUGAGCUGCACUCCCUAACCUCUUGCCAAAUGUAUGACCAAAUUAGAGAGACAGAUUUCCCUCAGAUUACACAGAUCCACAAAGAAUUAAAAAACAAACCCAAUUUGAAUAAACUCCCAUAUCUAUUGGGUGAAAUACCACAGUGUGCCAUCAACCAGUGAGUCACUUGAUUUGGCAAUGUUAACACAUGUUUCCGGAGGGGGGGGGCUAUCCCCCCUUAAUCAGCCAAUCAAGUCAACUUUCAUAUAUGUUAUACACACGUCGAGUCCAAUGAUCCCCUGUCACGUUCCCACACUUGUCGCGUUCCCUCUUCUCCUCUCGCUCAAGUGAUUGCUGCUCCACCCGUUUCAUCAAAAACGUCAGCAUUCCAUAAACCAAUCCUGAUGUGUGUGUGUGUCACUCUCUAAUGUGUAGCUCUCAAUUGGGGAUGAUGCGUUUUGUUCAGCCUGGCACCCCAGGCAGGAAUGUGCCACUGCAAAGUGACUUGAAGGCGUCACUUAGCACAUCUGGCCAACGGUGGCAGAGGGGCGACUAGCAGGGGGGAAUCGUCAGGGAAGGGGAAAUUCCUGGGCCCGAGUCCUUAGCAUGCGCGGAAUAUUUGACAAGUGAAAACCGUGGCGUGCAGAAAUGCAAGCUGGCCCUCUGAAACUGUUCCGUCCGCCUCAUAGCCAAUAAAGGAACAGGCGGAAUUCUGCUCUCCCUCAAUAUUACUGCGAGGAGCUUGGUGAGAAAGUGUGUUGACCUCCUUUCAAAGGCAGAUGUGUAUGUACAAGUUGUAAUCAAUUGGCUCGUAAUGUUUCAGCCCUUGAAGCACACACAGACCCUUUCACAUACACACACAUAGGCUUGCGUAGACAGAAAGACAGACAACCUGCAUCCCCAAUGCGGUGUAGGAAUAGAUAGAGAUCUGCAGUAUGUGCCUGGGGCAUGAGGGUCUGUCUUGAGCUCUACCAGUCUGAUAAAGGCUACAGCCAGAUGGUAACAGAGAGACAGACGGGGUUAACAUCAGCUGUCUGUCUGGACAGAGGACAAACCACUGUAGGGUGUUACUGUGUCAUCUUAGAAAGAGUUUUAACCAACAUUGAGUAGGUUCAGGCUUUAGCUACUCAUUUUUAAAUCCUUCAAAAUUCACGUGUGUGUGUGUGUGUGUGUGUGUGUGUGUGUGUGUGUGUGUGUGUGUGUGUGUGUGUGUGUAUGUGUG